UGUGAUCGAGCUAUUAGAUCAUGUAGAAUUCAGCCAACUAUUUUUUGUAGUGAACUGGUUUGAAAUGUAUGGUUAUAUGAUUAUAUGAGGGUCUUGAGUGAUGGGCAAAUGGAGGGAAAAAAUCUGAAUUACAUGCUUCACAGUUUUUGUUUGGGUGGAUUGGUUUUUUAUAGUCUAACUUGUAUGAAUUGGAUUUUUUUCAGGUUUGGAAGUGUGUAUGCCCAAGCUGCAAGGUGCUGAUUGAAUGUGGAUACAGGCUUGAUUGGUUUUGGAAGGUGCAGUGAUGCAAGGCAUGGUUGGUUUAAGAGGUCUCGGUUUUGAUUCGACGCAAUGCUUCGAUACUCCUGAAGCUUGUAUCUGCAAGUGAAUGGCUGAUUAUGCUGGACUUUGUAUUGAAUUUGUGGAAUUGUUUGAAAUCAUUUGGCAGGUUCGGUUUCGGCACGUUUUGGUUUGGAGGAUCCUCUUUGAAGUGUUAUGAUGUUGAUGUAUAUACUGAGUUGUUGCAGGACAGUAGUUAAGGAAUUAGUUUAACGGUUGCGGUUAGUGGAAAGUGAAACUUAGGUUAGAGCUAAUAAGGAAAGGUUAGUGAAAAAUGUGUAACAGGAAUUCUGCUAGUUAUUAGUCAUGGAAUCAGUCAGCUUGGACUUGGCUUAUGUAUGGCUUAAACUCGAAUGAAUAUGUGGACUUGGUAUUGAUGUAUUUGUAGUGAUGAUGAUUUCAAGAGGUCUGUAGUAGUUUGUCUUUCUGCUUUUUGUAAUGAGAUUUUUGGUAUUGACUGUUUGUAAUGGAUUGUAAUGAAUGCUGGAUUUUUGUAAUAA